AUUGCACGCUGGCGGCAUGCCUACCACAUGCAAGUCGAACGCGUGGCGGACGUGUGAGUCAUUUCUGGGACCCUGCCUGAUGGAGGGGGAUACCUACUGGAAACGGUCGCUAAUCCCGCAUACCAUCCGAUGUGCCCAGAUGGGAUUAGCUAGUUGGUGGUUUAACGGCUAACCAAGGCGACGAUCCCUAGCUGGUCUGAGAGGAUGACAAGACACAAGGGAAAGGAGAAAGGGUCCAGACUCCUACGGGAGGAAGCAGUGGGGAAUAUUGCACAAUGGGCGCAAGCCUGAGGCAGCCAGGACGGGUGUAGGAAGAAGGACUUCGGGUUGGAAAGUACGUGCAGCGGGGAGGCGUUACCCGCAGAAGAAGCACCGGCUAACUCCGUGCCAGCAGCCGCGGUAAUUC
rnacentral:rRNA from 1 species